AAAUCGGAUCAGGGUUAGUCGGGUCCUUAGGCAAAGCCGAAAGGCGUAGCUGAUGGCAAACUGGUGAAUAUUCCAGUACCUGCUAUAAUUUCGAUGGGGUAACGGAGUAGUGAAAGGACUGCGCAUCCACGGAUGUAUGCGUUAAAGGGAGUAGGUAUAUUUUGAGUAGGAAAAUCCGCUCGAGAUGCUGAACCUGAUAGUACAACAAAGCUUCGGCAGCGUUGAUAAUGUCCCUAAUCAGACUUCCAAGAAAAACCUCUAAGGUUAGGUUAUAGCAGCCCGUACCGUAAACCGACACAGGUAGUCGAGGAGAAUAUCCUAAGGCGCUCGAGUGAUCCGUGGUAAAGGAACUAGGCAAAUUGACGCUGUAACUUCGGGAUAAGGCGUGCCGCAGUGAUGCGGCCUCAGUAAAAUGGUCCAACCGACUGUUUAACAAAAACACAGGGCCCUGCAAAAUCGAAAGAUGACGUAUAGAGCCUGAUACCUGCCCGGUGCUGGAAGGUUUAGGAAGGAUGUUCGGCGCAAGCCAAAGCUUCUGACUGAAGCCCCAGUAAACGGCGGCCGUAACUAUAACGGUCCUAAGGUAGCGAAAUUCCUUGUCGGGUAAGUUCCGACCUGCACGAAUGGUCUAAUGAGUUGGACACUGUCUCUACCACGAGCUCGGUGAAAUUGUAGUAUCGGUGAAGAUGCCGGUUAAUCGCAACGGGACGGAAAGACCCCGUGAACCUUCACUACAACUUAACAUUGAUUUUGAAUGCCAGAUGUGUAGGAUAGUUGGGAGACUUUGAAGCGGCUUCGCUAGGAGUUGUGGAGUCGUCGUUGAAAUACCAACCUUCUGUUAUUUAGAGUCUAACUCCUGUAAGGGAGGACAUUGUUUGGUGGGUAGUUUGACUGGGGUGGUCGCCUCCUAAAAAGUAACGGAGGCUUGCAAAGGUACCCUCAGUACGGUUGGUAAUCGUACGCAGAGCGCAUUAGUAUAAGGGUGCUUGACUGUGUGGCAAACAAGCCGAGCAGGAGCGAAAGCUGGCUAAAGUGAUCCGGUGGUUCUGAAUGGAAGGGCCAUCGCUCAAAGGAUAAAAGGUACUCCGGGGAUAACAGGCUGAUCUCACCCAAGAGCUCAUAUCGACGGUGAGGUUUGGCACCUCGGUGUCGGUUCGUCACAUCCUGGGGCUGGAGAAGGUCCCAAGGGUUCGGCUGUUCGCCGAUUAAAGUGGCACGUGAACUGGGUUCAGAACGUCGCAAGACAGUUCGGACCCUAUCUGUUGUGAUCGUUAGUAAAUUGUGAGGACAUGACCUUAGUACGAGAGGACCGGGUCGUACGUACCGCUGGUGUAUCUGUUGUGCCGCCAGGUGCAGUGCAGAGUAGCUAUGUACGGGCAAGAUAAACGCCG
rnacentral:rRNA from 1 species